rnacentral:misc_RNA from 1 species
CUGUUCGAGCGUCAUAUAAACCCCUCAAGCUCAGCUUGGUGUUGGGGCCUGCCUCCAGGCAGCCCUUAAAAUCAGUGGCGGUGCACCGGGCUCUAAGCGUAGUAAUACUCAUCGCUAUAGGGUGCCGGUGGAUGCUCGCCAGCAAUCUCCAAUUUUCUAUGGUUGACCUCGGAUCAGGUAGGGAUACCCGCUGAACUUAA